GCCACUGCGGGAGGCAGGGGAGCCUGGGGCUCAACCAGCGCAGCGUCGAUCCGGUCGCCAAUCCGAUGUGCUGGGCCAAUGGCGAGACCGACCCGCGGAGCG
rnacentral:ncRNA from 1 species